AUUGAACGCUGGCGGCAGGCCUAACACAUGCAAGUCGAGCGGCAGCACGGGUACUUGUACCUGGUGGCGAGCGGCGGACGGGUGAGUAAUGCCUAGGAAUCUGCCUAGUAGUGGGGGAUAACGUCCGGAGACGGGCGCUAAUACCGCAUACGUCCUACGGGAGAAAGUGGGGGAUGUUCGGACCUCACGCUAUUAGAUGAGCUUGGGUCGGAUUAGCUAGUUGGUGAGGUAAUGGCUCACCAAGGUGACGAUCCGUAACUGGUCUGAGAGGAUGAUCAGUCACACUGGAACUGAGACACGGUCCAGACUCCUACGGGAGGCAGCGGUGGGGAAUAUUGGACAAUGGGCGAAAGCCUGAUCCAGCCAUGCCGCGUGUGUGAAGAAGGUCUUCGGAUUGUAAAGCACUUUAAGUUGGGAGGAAGGGUACUUACCUAAUACGUGAGUAUUUUGACGUUACCGACAGAAUAAGCACCGGCUAACUCUGUGCCAGCAGCCGCCGUAAAAC
rnacentral:rRNA from 1 species